GACGAACGCUGGCGGCGUGCUUAACACAUGCAAGUCGAGCGGAAAGGCCUCUUCGGGGGUACUCGAGCGGCGAACGGGUGAGUAACACGUGAGUAAUCUGCCCCUGGCUUUGGGAUAGCCACCGGAAACGGUGAUUAAUACCGGAUAUGACAGCUUCUCGCAUGAGUGGUUGUGGAAAGUUUUUCGGCCAGGGAUGUGCUCGCGGCCUAUCAGCUUGAUGGUGAGGUAAUGGCUCACCAUGGCUUCGACGGGUAGCCGGCCUGAGAGGGUGACCGGUCACACUGGGACUGAGACACGGCCCAGACUCCUACGGGAGGCAGCAGUGGGGAAUAUUGGACAAUGGGCGGAAGCCUGAUCCAGCAACGCCGCGUGAGGGAUGACGGCCUUCGGGUUGUAAACCUCUUUCGCCUGUGACGAAGCGCAAGUGACGGUAACAGGUAAAGAAGCACCGGCCAACUACGUGCCAGCCGCCGCUGUAAGAC
rnacentral:rRNA from 1 species